CUUCUUCUACCUUUUCUCUCACCCAUAGUCAACACGCUCACAACCGACAUUCUUCACUUUGUGGACCUCAGAUAUGGUAUAGGUCGUAGCAGCAGUUUUUCAUUCUGGUCGGUUCAAACAGCUAGGGUUUGUUUCACAUUUUUCUUAGAGGGAGAGAUGACGGAGAUACAAGAAACAAUUGCCCCUAUUCAUCCCAGAGUUUGGUGAUAAAAAAACAUAUUCUCAAGUAGAAUUCGAUGAAAUUAGAGGAGAAUGAGCUACUUUUGUGCUACAACUAAUCAUUAAUCAUGUUGAUGCAUCAUGAUCACCAUGCAUGGUGAGUCCAUUAGCUACUACAUGAAUUUUUCCACAGGUAUACAAUAUUCGGAGGGUGGAAUGGAGAAUAAAAAGAAAGAAAAAGGCAACAAGAUUUUGGGUUUUUAAGUGCAACUCUUAUGUCAUACGUUGUAGGACAUAAACAUUAAUUUAAUUGGUACUGAGAAUUUUAGAUUUUUAGAUGCGACUUUUAUGUCAUUUUAUAGUGAGUCGGUUUUAUGCUUAUGAAAUAGAGGUAUACAUGAAUCUUGGGAUCUUUAACAUUUCUAAAUCAUCUUUUGGUAUGUAGGCACUCUUCUUUUUUAGUUUUGAUGGGUUUGAUAUGUUGGACGUACUAUCUUUUUGUAAACAUUUGAUAUACAAAUAUUAUUAGAUGCUCAA